rnacentral:rRNA from 1 species
UACGUAGGUGGCAAGCGUUGUUCGGAAUCACUGGGCUUACAGGGUGCGUAGGCGGCUUGUCAAGUAGGGUGUGAAAGCCCCCGGCUCAACCGGGGAAUUGCGCCCUAAACUGGCGAGCUGGAGUGAGAUAGGGGUGUGCGGAACUUCCGGUGGAGCGGUGAAAUGUGUUGAUAUCGGAAGGAACGCCGGUGGCGAAAGCGGCACACUGGAUCUCAACUGACGCUGAGGCACGAAAGCCAGGGGAGCGAACGGG